UUCGUGGGUGAACGACAAGCUUCGGUGGAGAGUGGGCGAUGGAGUCAACUUCGGUGGCCGCAUGAACUGACUUGAUGACCGAGAGUGUUGUAGGGAAAUGAAACGUGAAAGUGGAGGAGGACGCCUGGUGGCUUGGGCUCUUCGUUGCUGGAUGGAUGACCGGCAAAAUGAAGACACGAAGAGGCUGAUGGUCUUCGGUUGACUGAGGAG
rnacentral:lncRNA from 1 species